GGAAGAAUUUGGAGUUUUGGUACAAAGAGUCACAGUGGAAAAUCAGUCUGUCGGUGGGCCUGCUAAUUUUAGUUUUCUAUUGAACAUACUUCUGUCCAUAUGAAAUAUUAUAGUUGAAUUACAUUUUAGGGAACCUGAGGAUUAAAUAGAAACGUAGUUCUACUUGUUUGAACAAAGUUGAGCGGUAGCUUUUUGGAUUCCUUUGUCUACAUGUUGAACGAGUGGAUUACUGAUAUCGAUGGCUGACUUUUUGGGAUAUAAAGAAGGAUUUUAUCGAACAAAACGACCAUUCAUGUUGUAGCUGGGACCCUUGGGAUUGCAAACAGAGGAACAUUUUCAAAAGACCAACACUCUUUCAUUGUGGAGUAUCAUGUUCCUGUGGCACCUGGAGGUAUGGCAGACAUCUUUGACCAGCUGGAGUCUAACAAGGCCACUUUGCAGAUCAAGCACUUCUCUGUCAGCCAGACUACCCUGGAUGAGCAGAGCGAGAGAGACAGGGAGAGGAAGGGAGAUGGAGAAAGUCUUCAUGAACUUUGCCAUGGGGAAGGUUGGCAUGGAGACAAUUCCAAUCCACAGCGAAGAAGGUUCCGAAGCACACAGCAUAAGCCUCGAAUCCAUUGAGGCUUCAGAUACAUAGCUUUGGCGGCUAUCUUGUUCACAUUACAACGUGUCUGUCGACAUGUCUGUCUGUCUGAGGACACCCACUGUGAAGGAAGAAGAGCAACAAUCAACCUGGGCUGGAAAUGAAUAAAUGGAUCUGCAUGUGUUUAAUAAUAAUGUAAACAUUAAAUUAAUUCAACUUUUAAUUAAUUUACUUUAUUUUAAUUGUAUAAUUUUGCUUUGGUUCUGUUAUCAGUUUAUCAAAUCACUGUAUCACAUAUACCUUAUAAAGGAUAACUUAUGAAGUCACUUUGUGGCCACUUCGGACUGUUAAAUUGAACCGGGUUGCUCUAUUGAUGUUUCAUCAUGUAAUGAGAAUCUGUCACGGUUGUCGUCAGUUAAGGAGGACCAAAAUGCCGCAGGUAUGUGUAAACUCAUCUUCUUUAUUAUAUGGAAAGAAGGAAAACCCAAAAUAAACACGUAUACAAAAGAAACACACCGACAAUAAACAGUCCUGUAAGGCUUGAUGCUAUACACAGAACAAUCUCCCACAAUUAAACAGACAAACACACCCAACUAAUAUAGGACUUCCAAUCAAAGGCAACACCACACAGCUGCCUUCAAUUGGAAGUCCACCCCAAUUAACC
rnacentral:lncRNA from 1 species